rnacentral:rRNA from 1 species
AAAGUUGCUUCGGUGGAUCACUCGGUUCGCGGGUCGAUGAAAAACGCAGUGAAUUGCGAUAAUAAGUACGAAUUACAGAUAUUAUGAGUGCCAUGUUUUUGAAUGCAUAUUGCGCCGUUGGGUUCUGCUCUUCGGCAUAUGUGAUUCAGGGUGGUUUGUU